UACGGGGGGGCAAGCGUUGUUCGGAAUUACUGGGCGUAAAGGGCGCGUAGGCGGUUCGCUAAGUUGGAUGUGAAAACUCUGGGCUUAACCCAGAGCCUGCAUCCAAAACUGGCAAACUUGAGUACUGGAGGGGAAAGCGGAAUUCCUGGUGUAGCGGUGAAAUGCGUAGAUAUCAGGAGGAACACCGGUGGCGAAGGCGGUUCUCUGGGCAUUACCUGACGCUGAGGAGCGAAAGCAUGGGGAGCGAACAGG
rnacentral:rRNA from 1 species